GCCCCGGCGGACAGACGCGAGAAAACAGAAGGGGCCCCGAGUGCCUACGUAGAGCGCACAUACACUGAUGCCACACUUUCCACGGUGGGAAGGAAAUGAAGCGCGCAGUGGCCAGAGCUCGGCGGAUCUGGAUGCAGUGGACUCAUGCAUAAUCUCUCUGUGUUAGACAUUUACCAUCUACCUACCACUCCCGUCUUGAGUAGAGAUGGCUGCUGGACGUCAUGCUACAGGCCUCAAAUAUGUCAAAGAUUCUUCAGCAAGGAAGGAAAAAAGUGUUUUUCUGCUUGCCAUGGCUCAUGCCCUACCUGGAGCUCAUCACUGCCUGACUUCUGCAUGCCCAGUCUGCUGGAGGACCUGUCCUGGGGCCCAGCCGAAAGCUCUUCAGUGAGUUCCCACUCUCCUCUACAAGUCCAGAGCAGCACCAGAAGUGAUCAUCAUCCCGUGUUCCUCAGGAAUUCAUGCAGGAUGGUUGCUGGGGAACUCUGCCCUAUAUGUUUUCUCCUUGUUCCGCUCUUUGCUUCCACUUGCCUCCAUUCUGAUGGCAUGUCUUCUGUGUUCCCCAGCCAGCAGCUUAUUUUGAAGAUUCAACAGGAGCUAACCCAGCACAUUAAACUCAUAUUAACUCUCUAUGCAGGGAAGAUCAAUAGGUUCUAGCCAAAACCUAAAUACACAUCGCUGCUCACCACUGCUUUCACUCAGUCAAACAAAUACGUUUAAAGUUCCAAUACUAAUUCACCUUUAAACUUCUCCAGAGUUCUGAACAAAACCAUACCAACCUGAAACCUGAGGACCACUUCCAAACAAAACAACAUCUACAGCUGUAACUUGGAGAGAAUUCAUUUAAAGAUGAAACCUUCUAUGUAACAGUCAUUUCAAAAUAGAAAUAAAAUGUUUUUUCUUACGUUAAUCCCAAAUCAUCAACAUAGUUAAUAAAUGAGGUUUAGACAUUUGUGACAGAACAUUUCCUGUUCUAUGCUUUAUAAAUGUCUCUCCCAGCAAUGCAAUGCAGCUUGGAGAAGUAGCAGCCCACCUUUACUGAGGGACCUCUAUCUUUCCAGUGCCAUAGAGCAAAUCAUCACCAUUAAUCUGAGGUGCGUCCCUUCACCUUCCCCGAUGGCAAAUCCUACAGGUGGGAGAGAUUAAUAAUAUGCAAAGCAGGAGUGGUCACAGAGUCAGAGUUCAGAAAGGUAAGCUUUCCUCCAUCUCCAGCACACUUGACCACACAGUGCCUGAGCACAGAGCUCAGGCCCCCCACCUGGAUUUGUUACAAUCAUCAAGCAUAUGCAAAGCUCAGAACCAACCUACUCAUUUUCUGCAGCAUCCAGUAUAGGUUAUGUGAAAUAUUAAAAUAUGUAAUUGUAAAUGCAUGCCCUUUAUUGCGUUAUAACUAAGAAACCAGAUCUUUUCCCAGUGACUUUCCAUGCAACUUUUCCCUAUUCUCAUAUCCCAUGGGGCUCUUAAGUGUGCAAAGGCACCAGUAUUAAAAUUUAUAAGAUAUUUAUAUAAAUCAGAUGGUUGGUAAGUAUUAAAUCUGAUUUUUCUCAAUAACCCGAGGGGGAACAUUAAAAUAUUAAAAUUGUUUGAAUUUUUAAAACACAAAUGGGCUUUUGAAUAGUUUAGGCCCAAGUCUCAACUCUUGUACUCAAAUACAUUCUGGCUGAGGACAGAGUACUUGAAGUUUUAAUCUUGUUAUUCACAUCUAGUGAGACAAAUGGCAGACUUAGUAGAAAGUCUGUUCUGAAAAAUCAUAAACAGAUCCAUGUGGAAAAAUGAAUUGUAUUUUCUGUUUUCAUCCCGUGAUUUACAUCUUUGAAUGGAUGUAUCUCUGGUCUUAAAUAAUUGAGGUCAUAAUGUAGAACUUGCUGUCAGAAUUGCCUCAUGGCAUUACCAGUUUAGGUACUAUCUUUGCCUCCAUAUUUCAAUAUCUUUGAUGUAAUUGUGAACAUGAAACCUUACAACAAUUUUCUGUUCAAGAAAUUUUAUUCUCAGACUCUUAACACAUUCUGGGAUCUAAGUCUGGCUCCAUAUCAUCAACUGUGCUGUGAACUCAACAGUUAACAGUUGUGGGUAAGCACAGCCAUAGGCUUCCAUUUUUUUUUUAGUAGAUAAAUAACAUUUUCCUCAAGGAUGAUGUGUUAUUGUUCUGAGAUGUGCAAGGGUAUGUCUAGAAUAGCUGCAGAAGAGGGAGUUGUGCUUGCAAAAAGAACAUUUGCUCUUUCCUUUAGGCUCUGAUUAGGUCAAUUCUUGGGACAUGUUUGGCUUGCAAACCCACAAUUACUGUGGGUACAGUGGUUUACAGCUUUUCUGGAAAAAGGGAUUUCUCUGCAUGCUGUUUUGGUCAUCUUAUUGCCAAACCAGUGUGUAUAUGUGUGCAUUGGAAGAUAAAGCAAAUUGUAACAGGAAUGUGCUUAAAAUUUAUAUCACUUUUUUUCCAUAGCUGGAAAAGGUCAACCUACUGGUAUAGGUGUCUGUGCACAGAAAAAGGAAUACUGCCAUGAGAAAAUAACAGUGGAAUCAGAAGAAACAAGAAAUGAUACACUGACAAAAACAAUGUUUUUAUUGUUAGAUGUUUUAAUCUUUGUGCUUCAGGCCUCAUUUCAUAUUUUGUAUUGCAAAAU